rnacentral:snoRNA from 1 species
AUGCAUCUGACAGCCCUGGAGCUGUUAAUGUCUGCUGCUCAGGUUUCCACUAUAGAAGCAAGAAAAAGAAGUCCUCGUGCUUUCUGUCUGUUUGCUUGUGGCAGCCAAGAUUGAAUGGGGGAAUACAGGA